AUGAGAGCAAAUCAAGCUGAUACUCAUCUGUUUAGACAUAAUGUCUCUAUUCAAGUUCUUUAUUAAUCACUUUUUAUUUUGAUAGGGAGGAUCCUGGUACCGACUUAAUGAUGAUCAGACUGUCUGGAAGAGGAUUCAACUUGACUCAUCGAUAGAGAACUCACUUUCUGAACUUCACACUGGUGUUUCAUUUUUAAUAAUGAAAACAAUUUUGGAAAAUGAAAACAGUAACAAAUCUAAUACAUAUGUUUGAUAUCUGUAAUUUUUUAUUGAAUGUUGAUGAUGAUAUAAAAUGAUGUGUAAAAUAUAGAGAUUUUAUAGAGAGAAGAAGAGAUUAUCAUUCUUGCUGGCUUCUUUUCCAGUACUUUUACUGAAUGAACAUGCAUAUAGCUUCAUAACGUUAGGACACAUUCUAGGUCUUUGUUAUUAAUAUUAAUAAGUAUCAGUCAGGCUCUGGGUCUGAAAAAGGGCACUCUGAAGUCUUUUUCUGAUCACUAUUUUACUCUUAUUUACCAUUAAAAUAUAUUAGAAUUAAAUUUGUGCAGUCUUAUGUAAAAUAUAUUUGAUGGAAAAAAAAUAAUUGAGCAUAAAAUAGACCAUCAACAGAUUUCAGAUGUUAUUCUUCCUUCUAAUUCAUUCUGACAAUGAUUCUUCUGCAUGAUUUGAUGACUAAAACAUCCAUGUUUUUUUUCUUCAGAAACACCAACUGAAACACUUCUUGUUUCUGUGCUGUAUGUUCAUUUCAGCUCUAAAUAAAUGUCUUUACAUAACA